GAAUUGCUGGGAAGGAGCUUUUAAAUCAUUAGUAUUUCACAAAUGAUAUUUGUGUCUUCGUUAUCACGGUGGAGACUUCAGACCAUGCCUGGGUUUAUACUAAUAAGGAAGAUAGAGUAUGAUCACAUUAGAAAGACCAAGCAUGUGAUUGGAGAGUUAGAGAUUGAGCCACUCGAUCUCAGACCAGCCUCCUUCAGGAAGGGGAAGUGGGCUGGAGACUUGACUGCAAUCUCAGGGCCAAUAAUUUAAUAAAUUAUGCAUAUUAAGUGAGACCUCAAUAAAAACUCCAAACGCCAAGGCUCUGGUGAACCUCCCAGUUGGUAAACACAUCUAUGUGCUAGAAAGGUGACAUGUUCAUGUUCCACAGGAAGAGGAAAAGGAAGGUCCAUGUUGGGGACCCUCCUAGACCUCACCCUAUGCAUCUCUUCAUUUGGCUGGUCCUGAUUUAUAUCUUUUCUGACAAAAGUGCAAUUGUGAGUUAGCAUUUUCUUGAGUUCUGGGAGUUGUCCUAGCAAAUUAUGAAAUCUGAAAUGGUCAUGGGAACCCCUGCAUUUGUAGUCAUUUAAUCAGAAGUGCAGUUGGCCUGGGGACCCUCGAAUUUCUGGCUGGCAUCUUAAGUAGGACAGCCUUAAUGGGGUCUGUGGCCUUAACCUGUGGAAUCUGUGCUGAUUCCAGGUGGUUACUGCCAGAAAUGUAUAGCAGUAGUUUGUAUAUCUGACUUCACUUUGGAAAGACAUCAGUUUUAGACACAAAAACUCAGUAAAUGCUACACUGGGUUAUUGAAAAACCUGUGAUGACCUCCUACCUCAUUGCCUGUUGUUCCAAAUAGGAGCAAAACCCUGGCCUCUCUGCCCGGCAACAAAGCCUGCCAUUAACCAAAGUCAUGUAUCUUUGAUGCCAAAAUACGACAGUAUAAGAAAGAGGCAUUAUUAGUCCUCUGCCCAGAUCUUCUUAGAUCUCUGUUCAGGUUCUGUUUCUCUUCUAUUUUCUUUGAGAUUUGGUUUCAAAAGAGCCAUGUACCUGCAACUCUUUCUGGAGAACUUCUCCAGGGUGACUGGAGCUGCUUCACCCAGGCUCAGAAAACCAACAGUGUCUGGUUUCUUGGGUCCCCUGGGAGUAAUACUUAACCAACGAUUGAAGCUGUGGAAAUAUGAACGCCCAGCUUCCUUGCUUUGAAUUGCGAUAAACCCUAAGGUAUAAUUUACACUCCAGUCGACUGAGCUCAGGACUCUGCCUGAAAUUAUACCCUUACUUGGCUUUUCUCCUUCUCUGUCCCGCUCCCCCACUCCUUUUCUGGAUUCUCCUAGGAAUACUUCCUUAAUAAAUCACUAGCCCACAAAUCCUUGACUCAAGGUCCACUUCAGGGGAACCUAACCUAAAACAGUUCCCAAUUAUUCACUAGCCAGCAGGUCGCCAUGUGACUGGCAGUGCUGGAGAGGAGGAGGGAUCUACUUCUCAGCCCUCAUUAUAGAGUCAAACUUGGCCAUGUGAUUUGCUUUGACCAAUGGAAUUCAAGAAGAAAUAAUGCUUGCCAUACAUUAUUGACUCAGACUUAUCACCUGGUACUGGGAACUGCUCUUUGGGGGAAGGGCUAUGAUAGGGUCUGCUCCUUCAGCCUGGACCCCAGAACAAGACAUAUCAUGCAGAGCCAUGGCUGACAAACAGGCAAGAAAAAAACCUUUAUUAUUAUAAGACGUGGAGAAUUGGGGGUUGUUACUGCAGUGUACCCUAACAGAUUUAAUAUAGGCGAUAUUUAAUGUAGUGUAGCAAAGCUAAGAGAAGAUGCCCUGGCAUGAGCCUGGGGUCAAAGUCAAACUCUACUACUUGCUACCUCUAUAACCUUGAUCAAUGACUGAGGCUUUCUGAGCCUCUGUUUCUCCAUUUUCAGGAUGAGGAUAUUAAUGAUGCCUACCUCAUAAGAACAUUGUGGAAAUCAAAUGAGACAGCAUAUACAGAGUGCUUCAAACAGUGCCCGACAUGGAAGAUACAACAAGAAGACUGCAAAUUGGGAGUCCUCACCAGAACCUAACCAUGCUGGCACACUGAUCACAGACUUCUAGUCUCCAGAACUGGGGAAAAUAAAAUGUUGUCUGUAACCCA